GACCCGUCUUGAAACACGGACCAAGGAGUCUAACAUGUGCGCAAGUCGUCGAGUCUAACUAAACUCGCGAGGCGUAGUGAAAGCAAAGCUCGGCCCCGAUGAGGGUGCCGCGAGGGGAGAUCCCGUCUCGAAUAGAGCGGGCGCAUCCCCAGGGCGUUCGAUGCCGCGACUUUUAGCCGGCCGAACGAACCCAGAGCGUACACGUUGGGACCCGAAAGAUGGUGACCUAUGCCUGGCCAGGUCGAAGCCAGGGGAAACCCUGGUGGAGGACCGCAGCGAUUCUGACGUGCAAAUCGAUCGUCGGAGUUGGGUAUAGGGGCGAAAGACUAAUCGAACCAUCUAGUAGCUGGUUCCCCCCGAAGUUUCCCUCAGGAUAGCUGGUGCUCGCAAAGAGAACGAACGGAGUUUCAUCCGGUAAAGCGAAUGAUUAGAGGCCUUGGGGUCGAAACGACCUCAACCUAUUCUCAAACUUUCAAUGGGUGAGAAGCCCGGCCUUUUAAUCCUUGAUUGAGGCCGCGGCAUUCGAAUCUGAGCGCCCAGUGGGCCAUUUUUGGUAAGCAGAACUGGCGCUGUGGGAUGAACCAAACGCCCGGUUAAGGCGCCUAAACGACGCACAUUUCGGAUCCCACGAAAAGGAGUUGGUUGCUAAAGACAGCAGGACGGUGGCCAUGGAGGUCGGAAUCCGCUAAGGAGUGUGU
rnacentral:rRNA from 1 species